AAACCCAAAGAUCUUCUGUCAGGAAAUCUGCGGUAAAUCGGAAAGCAAAGUUUGCUAAAGAUCCCGAAGGAGCCGGAUAGAGACAGAUAGCGAGGAGCGGCUGCCGUUCUGCAAACACAGAAAGAGACAGAAACAGGAGGAGACUCACCAGCGAUCUCUCUGCUCCCGCAAGGCACUGAGGCAGGCGUGGUGAAGCCCUCGGUCCAGGCCGACUCCCCCUCCGCCUGCACGAAGACGCCAAACUCAUCCUCCUCCUCCUCCGCGUCCUCCUCGGUGGCCACGGUGGAAGCCCUCUCCUUCGGCUUUGCUUCUCCGUCUCCCGUCGUCGUUUUAACCACCUCCUCCUCCAGGCCGGUUGCCAUGGAUCCCAGCAGGGGAAGAGAAGGGGCAGGAUUAGCCAGAGAGGGAGCACUGGAGGUGGGGGAACCGGCGACGUCGGUGCUGGUCUCUCCGUUCGGUUCAACGCUUGUUGACUCUUCAUCUUCUUCUGCAGCACGUUCUCUCUUAUUAUCUUCCUGUGUGGCAUCUUCUACCUUUUCGCAGGUGUUCUCCCUCCUACAAUCCUCAUCUUCACCCCCUCGCUCUUCUAGAUUCUCCUCCUCCGACUCUUCUGUCCUGCUGUUUUCCGACACAACCCUCCCGUCUGUCUCUUGGAUUGAAGGAUCUCCGAGUCUAAAAGGUGAGGACAGAACUGAAAUCUGAGGUGGCAUAUUUUUGUUCUCGUUCACAGUGUUUUCUUCAACUUGUGGGUUGUUCUCAGUCUGAACCCAACAAGUUUCCUGUCCGGCGGUGUCCCCUAUAGGGACGGUGGACUGGUUAGUCGUGGUGAUGGAAGCAGGAAAGGCCAAGAAUUCAGCAGGAACUUGGAAGAUGUCUUCUUUUUUCUCUGUUUCUUGAUAAGGGAAUCCAUCUGCGUCGCCUGCUGCUUCUUUACAGGACUCCUCACCUGGUUUUCCAUCCUUAAUAAGUCUUGAUUUAAAGCCAUCCAGCUCAGAUCGUCCAUUAAUGUUUUCCAUCACGAUCCUUCUGUCUGUCUCGGAGAUGGAAGGAUCUUUAUGUCUAAGCGGUGAAGAUAAAACAUCUUCGUCCUCCUGCUUGCUGCGAAUCUGUGCGUUUUUGUUUAACUUCUCGUUCACAGUGUUUUUCUCGUCGAAGCCAACAUCUGCUUCCUCAACUUGUUGCUUGUUCUCAGUCUGAACCCAACAAGUUUCCUGUCCGGUGGUGCCCCCUAUAGGGACGGAGGACUGGUUAGUCGUGGUGAUCGAAGCAGGAAAGGCCAAGAAUUCAGCAGGAACCUGGAUUAUAUUUUGUUCUUUCUCUGUUUCUUGAUCAGAAAAUCCAUCUGCAUCAGCUGCUGCUACUUCACAGGACUCCUCAGCUGGUUUUCUCUCAUUAAUACGUCUUGAUUUAAAGCCUUCAGUCUCUGGCUCGGAGCGGCCGUGAAUGAAGUCGCUGCUUCCUGUGUGUAAUUUCAUAACAUCAGGGUUCGUGUCCUCGUCUCUCUCUGAAUAGUCGUCCUUGCUGCGAGAGGUUUUCAGCCCUUCGUCGCUCUCGGCUCCUCCGACGUGGCAGUGGGAGUCGGUACGGUUGGAUUCUAGGUCAGGCUUUGAUUCAGCCACAACACAGUUAGAGGACUUGCAGAGGCCUCCCUUCUCCUCCUCGUCAUUCUUUUGCAGCUCCUUCCUCAUUCCCUGUCCAUUCGUGAGACUUUCUCCUCCGUCCGGUCCAUCCUGGCUCUCCCUCCGUUGUGCUCUCGGUCCACACUGACUGCAGGCUUUAGGGGAAGCAUCGUGGCAGCAUCGGCCUCCCCUGCAGUCCUGUUGUUUGCUGUCCGGGCCUCCUUUGUCUCGCUCUUCCUGCCUUUCUUCAGCCGGAUCCUCCCAGCUCCUCUGCUGCCUCUCUCUGCUCCAGCCUGUUUUCUCUGCGUUGCCGGACUUCCUCCACCUCCGGCCCGAUCGCACUCUAACCCGGUUUGCUCCGGUCUGCGCCGGCGGCCCGUUAUCCCUGCCUCCUCCUCCUCCUCCCGUCUUCCCUCUCAGCCAUCCUCCGACCACCCCGGUCGUCCCACCAGAACCGGGUUUAGCCGUCGAGUACAGACAGCUUCCUUUCUCGGUCCGGAGAAAGAGGCACUGGGUUUGCGUCUUCCCGCUGCCCUCCGAGGUCUUCAGGGUGGCGACGGUCACCAGCGCUCCGAUCCCGGCCUGCCUGGCGUCCAGCCCCAGGGGGAUCCCGUACCCCAUGCGACCCCACUCCCCACUCAGGUAGACGUCUGCGGGUCUGGGGCAGGACGUCCCGCGGCCUGCAGGAGGCGCCGUAGGAGCUUGCCCACCUCCCAGCAGGCCGCCGGCCUUGUGGCGGUUCUUGGAGCACAGCGCCCAGGCUCGGAGGCCCCGGAUCAGCGGCAGGUCGCCCAGGCCGAGCUCCAGGCGGCUGGGGAAGGGCAGGGAGGCUCUGGAGCACUUCUGGAGCAUCUCCCUGGUGGAGCCCGACACAUUGAGACAGGGGUAGUUGUUGUUGUUGUUCUGCUGGAGCAUGGUGCCUGUUGUCGGCCUCAUUUAUGUUUUAUCGGUUCGUCCUCGCUUAUGCUUUAUUAAAACGCAGCCUGUCAGGUGGAGCCGAGUUCUCAUCCGCGAGGGGGAACGCUGCCACUAUCAGGAGUCUGUUCUCGAUUCAGAGCCUGACAGCUCAAAGGUAAAGAGAUCAGAGUUGGUUAAAAAUACACUGGGCAUCGUGAAGCAGACGAAACGCUCUCAAGAAUCUCUGUGUUCUGAUUAAUUCUGACAGCGGAACUGGGGAGAAUGUUUCUGAGAGAUCUCCUGCUAAUCUCAUAUCUUAACAGUUUGUUCUGGCGACUGUAAAACCCGACGGCAAACAGGAUGCUGUUCCUCUUUAUCGGUCUUUAGCUCUGAGUCUCCUGACGAGGAAGGUCAGACGUCCGGCUGUCAGCGCUGAUGGGAGCGAAGGUAAUGAGAAGUUUGUUUUUUUUGUCCGGAUUGAUGCUCAGCGAUGCUGUCUUGGAGACUGACUCAGCUGUCAGAGAA
ensembl:lncRNA